GUCAAUCAAUGAUUGGCAAAGUCAUUUAGUUUUGGGAAUCGAGAGGAUAACAAUCCCUCUCGAUUUUCUUCUUUUAUAUUUUUCCAUCUAAGUGGAUGGUGUAUCAUUUGGUAGCCGUUGCGCCGAUAUAACUAAAAACAGGUUCUGGUUGCGCGGCUAACUAGUCAAUUUUUGCAAUGGGUAACUGGCAAGGCAACUGGUUGGUGGUCAGAGUGACCCACAGGACACACCUCCGUAAUAAAACACUGUGUUCGAUGGCACGAAAUUUUCGCUACGAUCUAUAUUUAAGUUUAUUAUUUUUUAUGCCGACGCGGCUCUUUAGAAUACAUUGACUUCGAGUUGAAUUAUUGUUUCCAUUCCAAGAGCUCCGCACUGAAAACACAAACAAACGAAUGU